GCAGUCGAGCGAGACCUUCGGGUCUAGCGGCGGACGGGUGAGUAACGCGUGGGAACGUGCCCUUUGCUACGGAAUAGUCCCGGGAAACUGGGUUUAAUACCGUAUGUGCCCUUCGGGGGAAAGAUUUAUCGGCAAAGGAUCGGCCCGCGUUGGAUUAGGUAGUUGGUGGGGUAAUGGCCUACCAAGCCGACGAUCCAUAGCUGGUUUGAGAGGAUGAUCAGCCACACUGGGACUGAGACACGGCCCAGACUCCUACGGGAGGCAGCAGUGGGGAAUCUUAGACAAUGGGGGCAACCCUGAUCUAGCCGUGCCGCGUGAGUGAUGAAGGCCUUAGGGUUGUAAAGCUCUUUCAGCUGGGAAGAUAAUGACGGUACCAGCAGAAGAAGCCCCGGCUAACUCCGUGCCAGCAGCCGCGGUAAUACGGAGGGGGCUAGCGUUGUUCGGAAUUACUGGGCGUAAAGCGCACGUAGGCGGACUGGAAAGUUGGGGGUGAAAUCCCGGGGCUCAACCUCGGAACUGCCUUCAAAACUAUCAGUCUGGAGUUCGAGAGAGGUGAGUGGAA
rnacentral:rRNA from 1 species